rnacentral:tRNA from 1 species
UCGUCGUGGCGCAGCCCGAUCAGCGGGUCCUGUUCGGCGAGCCGGGUGAGCGCGAGGUGCAGGGCACCGCGGCCGGUUCCGGGGCCCGGCACGACGAC